rnacentral:tRNA from 1 species
UAGUGGUACAGCAUUAGGCUUUUAACCUAUUGGUUCCAGGUUCAGACCCUG